CAGAGUUAGAGGGGGAACAGGAAACAGAGGCAGAGGUAGAGAAAGGCCACUAGAUAGAUUCCAAAAGUAACAGAGAAAGACAAGGACAAAGACCGAGAGAGAAACAGUGACAGAGAUACGGAGAGAAAGAGCGACGGAAAGAGACUUCAAGCAAAAGUGAGAGAAGCAUGGCUGCUAGGAGAAAGAGGGGAAAAGAGAGAGAAAGAGAAAGACACUGAUAAUGGGCAGGAGAUAGUGAGGAAAGGAGAAUGUGAAAAUGCUGUUCACUAGUGAAACCAGAGGUGGAGGGUCACAGCAGGAAAGGACAAAAGAGUAAGAGAAAGAAGAAAAGGGCUGAGAAAGAUUAUAAGGAGAAACUGAAAGUGUCGCUGAGAAAAGGAAAGAGAGACAGUCACCUGCCAGGAGAAAGGAGUAGGAAACCUGUGUCCCAGGACAGGAGCAGGUGCCCAGGCCUGGCAGAGAGACCCCUGCCUUCCCAAUACCAUCCAGAGAGCUAGGCAUCAUCGAGAGGUUGGAGAUGGAGGGAUUUGGCAGAGUCUUCCUUGAUGGUGGCAACAGGCUGCUGGAGACUUGAUAACAGUUUCCUUGGCUGACCCUGUCCGGUGCCAGUCGGGCCCUGCCAGAAAGCUGCAGGGGAGCCAUGCUGAAGUACAGAUCAGAGACCCUCUUCCUGCUUCCUCUCCCAAGGCAGGGGUCUUUCAGUCUCACCCGGAUUGGGCCCUCUCCUACUUUCUGCAAGUGCAAAGUGUCCAGGCAAUAGGAGGAAGAGUAGCUGACAGCUGGGCCUGCAGGGACAGAACCAAAAGUUGCAAACUGACGGCACCUACUGGCAACCAUCAAGACUGCAGAAGGGCUGGAGGGCUCCGGCCCAGGCAAGAUUCUGGGAUUCUCUCCAUGCCAUCUCACAGAUGAACUAGGGUCUCUUCUGCCCCAUCUGCCUUGGAGAAGGGCAAAGCUGUCAGAAGCAUUCUAAACAAAUGCUAACAGCAAAAGACUACAGCACAGAGUGCAAGAUGGAUGGAGUGGAUUAGAGUAGACGUGGCAUUGAUAGGAAUCUGGGCCCCAGGCCUCCACAUAACUUUGGCUUCCCAGCCCCUUCUCUGGCUGCCCUGGACUGCCCACUGUGCCCACACUGAAUAGGGAGCUUGGCUUCCCCCCGUGUCGGCUGUCUAGGUGCCAGGUGUGGCAUCCUCUGCAGUCAUCCCAAGUGUGGGCUGAGCAGUGGCAUGUGAGUCCUGCUGCCUUCUUGCCCCACACUUGGAGAGACCAGAUCCGGAGAGCCAGGAUCUCCAUCAAGACUCCACAGUGCAGAGGGAAGUCUGGUCCAGAGGACAGAGCCUGAGUCCUUCUUCAGGAUGUGCAGCUCCAGAAGUGAAGAUCAAGACAGGGGAGAGGGUGGGGAGAGGCGAGCCCAUCUGCAGUGGGGCUGGCCAGGAUCAUUUCACAUCUUCAGUCCAUCCAGCUGUGCUCCUUGCUGGCUCUGUGGCCACUUCCCCUUCCUCAGCUCCAGUUUUACCAGCUAUUCAGUGGGGAAGGGGAACUCAUUGAAUUGUGAAGCCCAUUCCAGCUGGAGCACUGGAGGAAUCUAGAACCUCUGGAGUCCUUGUCCAUGGUCCUCCGCCCAAUGCUGGCAUGACUUCCAACCUUCCAGAGUUGACACUGUUUCCAGGCCUAUGGGCAACAGCAGAAUCUCAAAGUCUGCAGAGACGAGCCAAGUGAAUGAUAUUGGGCUCUAGGAGAGCUCUGUCACCACCCAGAGUGGGGAUGAGGCUCACCCAAGGACACACAGCUAGUAAGUAAUCCAGCCGAGACUUAAGCCAAAUACAGUUGCUGCCUACUACAGAUUUGGCCCCCUGUACCAUAGGCUCAGGACUCCAGGAAGGUGGAGGUGGGGGGAGAAAAAGAAGGUGCUACCUGGGAGAAUCUAUGCAGAGGACACUUGCAAAAGAAGAGACACAGAAAUGACUCUAGGCAGAGAGAAACAGAUGUUAGCGUGGGAAAAUCAUUCUCCCUGCCUCCCCAACACCUGUGAAGUCAAAGAGCACGGUGUCUGCUUGCCAGGUGCCUCCUGGCCUGGCAGAUCAGAAGCCCAGAAUCAGAGCAGACCCUGUGUCCUCCUUGGAGGGCCUCCAGGCCCUGUCUCCUACUCCCCUGGCCCUGGAGAACAGUGCUACCUACCCCAAAGAGAUUGUACCCAGGGACUGCUGAACCCAGAGAGACCCCCCACAAAAGGGCUCUUGGAUUAGAUACCACGCAGAGGAGUCCUCAGAUUUAGUAAAACCCCAGAGGGGACCUGGGUUCCAGAGAAAUCCCAACACUCACACACACAGGGGCCCUUACUCCCCAGCUGCACGCCUCCCCUUCUCCCUGCCAGCACGAGGAGCGCACAGAUAGCUCUGGUCAGGCCUUCUGCUUAGUCCCAGACCUCUCUUCUGGCCCCAUCAUCCCACGCCCAGAGCCAGGAUCUCUGGUCCCUCACAUCAGGCUUCGUGCCUCGUCCUUUCUCUCCUCCCCACGCCACCCCUUUCUCUCCUUCCCCCCAGCCUUUCUCUUCUCCAUACACAGGAGAACAUCCUGGCCUGAGGGGCUUCCCAAGCUUGGUAACCAGACAUGCCAGCAUCACUGGGGAAAAGUGGGGAAGACCCCCCCUCUCCCGGAAAAGUGAGUGGAUCACAAGAGAGGAAGAGGAAGAGGAGUAACUCCUGUCUCCAUUUCCUAAUCUGAAAACUGGGAUGAUAACUCCACCAAACUCAGAGGAAUGUUAUGGGAAGCUAUACGUAGUACAGGCUUCUGGUUAUACUUCAUUUAAUAAAUACAUAUGGAAAACCA